rnacentral:rRNA from 1 species
CGUAAUAGCUCACUGGUCGAGUCGGCCUGCGCGGAAGAUGUAACGGGGCUAAACCAUGCACCGAAGCUGCGGCAGCGACACUAUGUGUUGUUGGGUAGGGGAGCGUUCUGUAAGCCGUUGAAGGUGGCCUGUGAGGGUUGCUGGAGGUAUCAGAAGUGCGAAUGCUGACAUAAGUAACGAUAAUGCGGGUGAAAAACCCGCACGCCGGAAGACCAAGGGUUCCUGUCCAACGUUAAUCGGGGCAGGGUGAGUCGACCCCUAAGGCGAGGCCGAAAGGCGUAGUCGAUGGGAAACAGGUUAAUAUUCCUGUACUUGGUGUUACUGCGAAGGGGGGACGGAGAAGGCUAUGUUGGCCGGGCGACGGUUGUCCCGGUUUAAGCAUGUAGGCGGAUGUUCCAGGUAAAUCCGGAACGUUAUUAACGCUGAGGUGUGAUGACGAGGCACUACGGUGCUGAAGUGACAAAUGCCCUGCUUCCAGGAAAAGCCUCUAAGCAUCAGGUAACAUCAAAUCGUACCCCAAACCGACACAGGUGGUCAGGUAGAGAAUACCAAGGCGCUUGAGAGAACUCGGGUGAAGGAACUAGGCAAAAUGGUGCCGUAACUUCGGGAGAAGGCACGCUGAUGGUAAGUGAAGUGACUUGCUCAUGGAGCUGAAAUCAGUCGAAGAUACCAGCUGGCUGCAACUGUUUAUUAAAAACACAGCACUGUGCAAACACGAAAGUGGACGUAUACU